UGUGGAGCUGUGGACGUGUGGUUGAUCAUUCGAUACGUAUUUCCUUUCCUUUGUGGAUAUCUUCAUAAUUUCAAGCAUCAUUUUUGUUUGCUACAUUCAGUUUCAACAUUUUGAUGCUAUGCAUAUGGAUUUCCCAUCUGUAGCACUGUAUAGGACUAGAGUAGAUUUUUUCAUUAUUGUUGGGCACGCGCCAAGCGAGCAUGACAUUUAUUGUCGUGUGAGACUGUGAGUGUGACUGAUCGUUUAGUUUGCAUUGUGCGUUUUGUGCCAUCAUUCAAUUCAAUUAGUGCAUCAGUUUAAUUGAUCGAAAGAAAAGGUCCACAAAAAGCGUGAAUCUUUAAGAUGCAUACUGUCAGUCAUUCCAACAAGUCAACAAGUCCGCUCAGUCAAUUUCCAUCCAUCAGCCUCAUCAUGUUGUCAAAAGCCAAAAACUCAUGGUUGAAGACACAUGCAGUGGAAUACAAAUGUGCCGAGAUAAGGAUCUUUUCUUUACCUCACAAUUUUGGUCAUGUACCCUGCAACAGCAUGUUUGUUUUUAUGGAGCUCUUUUACUUCUGUAGAAGGCACCCCAACUAAGAGAUAGAGUUUCAGUGAAAUGAAGAGUGUGAAGUGAAUAACCUGCCAUGUGUAUGCACAUGUACUAGAUCUGCUUGAUGAAAGUCAAAUCCCUUACUUAAUUGAUCACCCAUAUGAUAAAGCAACAGGAAAUCAAUCUCAACAUGUGAAGUACAAGUACAAGUAAUGCUGUUGGUUCCUGUGAAUUCCAUGUUUACGGUUUUUCAUCAUGAACAUUUUAGUGUGCUUCAUAGAAAACAGCACGCAAGAUCACCACGGACAUCCUUGAGCUAAUGCUAGAUUUCGUCCGUGACAGAAGAGGGACUUGCAUCAUGCUCCAUCCUUAUCUUCCCGACGUACGCUCAUCCAGCUUCACUGCUUCAGUGCUUCUUAUGCUGCAAAACAACUUUUCUUGCUUCACUGGCGAGUUGGAUCAUCACUU